rnacentral:rRNA from 1 species
UGGGGAAUAUUGCACAAUGGGCGAAAGCCUGAUGCAGCAAUGCCGCGUGUGUGAAGAAGGCCUGCGGGUUGUAAAGCACUUUCGGUAGGAAAGAUUAUGACGGUACCUACAGAAGAAGCACCGGCUAACUCCGUGCCAGCAGCCGCGGUAAUACGGAGGGUGCAAGCGUUAAUCGGAAUUACUGGGCGUAAAGCGCGUGUAGGCGGUCUUGUAAGUCGGAUGUGAAAUCCCCGGGCUCAACCUGGGAACUGCAUUCGAUACUGCUCGACUAGAGUAUGGAAGAGGGAAGCGGAAUUCCGGGUGUAGCGGUGAAAUGCGUAGAUAUCCGGAGGAACACCAGUGGCGAAGGCGGCUCACUGGAUCGGUACUGACGCUGAGGUGCGAAAGCG